rnacentral:rRNA from 1 species
AGAGUUUGAUCCUGGCUCAGGAUGAACGCUGGCGGCGUGCUUAACACAUGCAAGUCGAACGAUGAAGCCCCUGCUUGCAGGGGUGGAUUAGUGGCGAACGGGUGAGUAACACGUGAGCAACCUGCCCCUGACUCUGGGAUAAGCGCUGGAAACGGUGUCUAAUACUGGAUAUGUGCCACGGCCGCAUGGUCUGUGGUUGGAAAGAUUUUUCGGUUGGGGAUGGGCUCGCGGCCUAUCAGCUUGUUGGUGAGGUAAUGGCUCACCAAGGCGUCGACGGGUAGCCGGCCUGAGAGGGUGACCGGCCACACUGGGACUGAGACACGGCCCAGACUCCUACGGGAGGCAGCAGUGGGGAAUAUUGCACAAUGGGCGGAAGCCUGAUGCAGCAACGCCGCGUGAGGGAUGAGCGGCCUUCGGGUUGUAAACCUCUUUUAGCAGGGAAGAAGCGAAAGUGACGGUACCUGCAGAAAAAGCACCGGCUAACUACGUGCCAGCAGCCGCGGUAAUACGUAGGGUGCAAGCGUUAUCCGGAAUUAUUGGGCGUAAAGAGCUCGUAGGCGGUUUGUCGCGUCUGCCGUGAAAUCCUCAGGCUCAACCUGAGGCUUGCGGUGGGUACGGGCAGACUUGAGUGCGGUAGGGGAGAUUGGAAUUCCUGGUGUAGCGGUGGAAUGCGCAGAUAUCAGGAGGAACACCGAUGGCGAAGGCAGAUCUCUGGGCCGUAACUGACGCUGAGGAGCGAAAGGGUGGGGAGCAAACAGGCUUAGAUACCCUGGUAGUCCACCCCGUAAACGUUGGGAACUAGUUGUGGGGUCCUUUCCACGGAUUCCGUGACGCAGCUAACGCAUUAAGUU